rnacentral:ncRNA from 1 species
UAGUUCGCGAUGACGAGGAGGAGUAGUCGGACGGGAAUCUACAGAGAGCUGCCGGUUGGUGCAAGGCAGUGAGGAAGGUCCGGUGAAUAUCACCUCAGAGCUUUCGGGCUGAAACGGUUUGCAGUAAGCCUGGACGGAGAACAGCCGUUAUCCUGUUGCCCAUUGUCAGAUGGGAGCGAGUGGCCGUGCAAGCGGCAAAAAGAGUGGUACCGCAGAGGUUUGAGCCUUUGUCUCUUGG